UCCCUGGUGGCCUAGUGGUUAGGAUUUGGUGCUCUUGCUGCCACGGCCUGGGUUCGAUUCCCAGUCAGGGAA